ACUCGAGUGGCGAACGGGUGAGUAACACGUGGGUGAUCUGCCCUGCACUUCGGGAUAAGCCUGGGAAACUGGGUCUAAUACCGGAUAGGAACCGUCUUUAGUGUGGUGGUUGGAAAGUUUUUUCGGUGCAAGAUGAGCUCGCGGCCUAUCAGCUUGUUGGUGGGGUAAUGGCCUACCAAGGCGUCGACGGGUAGCCGGCCUGAGAGGGUGUACGGCCACAUUGGGACUGAGAUACGGCCCAG
rnacentral:rRNA from 1 species